rnacentral:rRNA from 1 species
UACGUAGGUGGCGAGCGUUAUCCGGAAUUACUGGGCGUAAAGGGCACGCAGGCGGCCAUUCAAGUCUGACGUGAAAGCUCCUGGCUUAACUGGGAGAGGUCGUUGGAGACUGAGUGGCUUGAGGCGAUGAGAGGGGUGCGGAAUUCCCGGUGUAGUGGUGGAAUGCGUAGAUAUCGGGAGGAACACCAGUGGCGAAAGCGGCGCCCUAGCAUUGGCCUGACGCUCAUGUGGAAAGCGUGGGGAGCGAACGGGAUUAGAUACCCGGGUA